AGUGGGUUGUCGGCCAGCAGCAAGCGCGGCUGGGGCAAGUCGCCAUCGCGCUCGAGCGCGCGCAGCUCGUCGGGGCCCAGGCCGGCCAGCGCGUUGACUCGCGCAUCCAGCUGCUCCAGGCGCGGCAGGCGCAGCGCGGCGGGUGGCAGGCGGCUCAGCGCGUUGCCUGCCAAGCCCAGCAGGCGAAGCUCGGCCAGGGGGGCCAGAGCGGCGUCCAGUGCAUCCAGCAUCCCGGGGCUGCCUCGAGCCAGCGCGUGAUUGAGCUGUAGUGAGCGCAGCGCAGGCAGCCCGCGAAAGGCGCGGUAGCCCAGGGCGCGUAGCGGGUUGUGACUUAGGUCGAGUGCCGCUAGGCUGGGCAGCCCGUCGAAGGCACCGUCCUCUACUACCUCGAUGUUGUUGUGUGUGAGGCGCAGCGCGGUAAGGAGCGGUAGGCGCACGCCGUCCGUCGCCUCCUCGUCCCCUCCCGCGAAGGCGGCGGCGCGCAGCACGGUCAGGUUGGCGCCCACGAUGGUGAGGUUGCGCGCGUCGGGUGGCACGUCCCGGGGCGGCUGCCGGAGCUCCGCGCCCGACGCGCAGCGCAACAUUAACCGGGGGCUGCCGAAGCAGUAACACUGGAAGGGACAGGGCGCGGCGGGCCGGCUCAGCGCCGCCGCCAAGAGCAGCAGCCCUGGCAGCGGGCUCCAGAGCCCACGCUGUCCCGCGCGCGGGGCCAUCGCGGCCGUCCCCGCAUCCAGCCCCCGGCCCGCAGCGCUCACCAGUGAGUUGGGAGCGUUUGGAGAUGAUGGGGGUGGCACGGGAAGGUGGCGGUGGGCUAGACCUUGACCCGGAGCAGCUGACAGUUCCGACCGGUCCGUCCUCCGGCUUGUAAAGUCCGAGGAGCCUUCACUUUGAUGGCUGGGGGCUACAGGGGUCAGGCGGGGAGCGGAGCCCCCCCGCCCCCGCUGCCCUCGUCGCCCUGCGCUCCGGCCUCCGACUUCCGCGGCCGUUCCGGGCUCUGAGCCGAGUGGGCAGGGUUUGCCUCCCCCUCCCCGCCUCCCGGCCGCCUCCUCCGCCCCCAGCGGAGUCUCCGCACCUCCUCGCCGAGGGAGGCGGGGUGGGAGGCUCGGGAGCAGCAGGCUUAGGGCCGCUGCGCUCUCCUGCUCCCCUGCUCUCUAGUUCACGAGAUGCUGAGAAGUUUGGCUCCCCAAGCUCUGACUUGCUUCUUUCCCCACCCCCUUCGUUUAGGCAGCUUCUUUCCUCCUCCCUCCGAAGCACAGGUGGGGCGGGGCCCUCAGGGCUGACCUGGCAGGUGGAUCUGUGCACCCAGAGAAGGUGGGAGAGUUUAGAGCUGUCCCUAGAAAAGGAGGCAGGGCUGAGGGGUGGGCUGACAAAGUUACUCUUCUGGAAGUCAAGGAAAGGGGCUGUGUUAAGGGAGCGAGCCUGGAAAAUCCCUAGCCUUGGAUGUCUCCUUUGCGAACCCAGUUCCCUUAGGCUGUGUCUCCAACUCUGCAGGUCCUGUGUGUCCAGCCUUUUUAUCGACCCUUUCCUAUGCCCUAGGGAAGCCUAAUGCACCCUCUGUCCCCACAUCUCCCGCGCCCUAAUUCAGGCCGCUCUGCCUCUGCCAAGACCACUCCCAUUGGUUCCACCCUUCAGGCUGGACCCCUCUUAGGCUCAGGGAGCGGUGGGUGGAGUGAUUCAGCUCUUUGCUUGCCCACCCCACCCCAGCACUGAGCACCGCCAGGAUACUGUGUGGUCAGCAGGCCCCUUCCCCUCCAAACUCCCCUACCAGUCAAUAUUGAGUGGGGUGCCGGUUGGGGAGGGGGCUCCAGGAGCAGGACAAUCAGGAACUAAUUUUGUAGUGGAGGGUGGGGGUGUGGUAAGAUCCAGGGCUGAGGUGGGGGCUGAGCUGUUAAUAGGCUUGGUUUGUUUUCUUCUGGAUUUUACUUAUUUACGUUUUUUUUUUUUUUUCCUUCAGAAUUGAGAAGCUCAAGACCUGAUUUAAAGAGACCGACUCCGGAGGAGGGAGCACUCCUGGUCUUGGCAUGAAUUAUUCAGGUUGGAGAAGCUGACAUUUGAUCUGCAGGCCAUUCGAGUAUCUUACUUGGCAGAGCUGGUUGGGAUAGAGGCUCCCCUCCUCCCCAUUAGAACCAGCCAAUCUCUUUCUCCUGAAUUGGGGACCAUUGGUUGGUUUCUUCCCUGAAGUUGCACUUAGCAGAUCGGACCAGCAGACUGAAACCACUUUCCGAGGCAUACCCUGCAGUGGCCUGGGUCUCAGGCAAAUACCAACACUAAGGGCCAGGCUGGUGAUCGUGCUGGUCUCCCCAGCUCAUAUUGACCUAGUCCUGUCUCCACGAUAACCUCCAGAUGCCAACAGAUGACAGUAGUAGCUUUCAUGUUUAGAGCUGGACGUUGUCUGUAUACAUGGCCACGUGAGUUUACGCAUACAUGUGUGCCUCUACGCCGAGAGGCAAACUUUACACAAACAGACCUACACACGCCCAUGUGUGGUCUAACAGAUUUAUUCUUACUUGGAUGUGCAUGCAUGUGCACGGGAGGCUUGCACACAGCAGUUCCAAACAAAUGGGUUUCACAUAGCCACAUGCAGGCUCACUCUUGCCUGUGUACAUAGCGGCGUUGAGUGUAGCCUGGUAUGUGUCCACAGAGUCAGACGCAUACCAAAGUGCUUGAGUGCUCACUCACUGGGCCAUCACAGGUUCAACUGCAGCCUUAGAGGGGCAGCUUGCAGACUCCUGUGAAAGUGAAUGCGUGUAGACGGGGUCCUUUCUUGCUCUGGACUGUGUUCUUAGCCUUCGGAGGUCACGGGUACUUUUUCCCACACAGCACAAGUGCUCAGAUCACGAGUGACCAGAGCAGCCUGCUUCCCUGACUCAACUGCAUGGAGACCUCCUGCCUCCUGUCCCUAAGGAAGUGUAGACCACUGCCAAGGCCGAAGCUCCCUCUCGGGUUUCCAUGGUGGCUGCCUUCUGAUUGCUGCUGACUGCCUUCUCCGAGGGAGAGGGGCUACAUGGUUGCAGGCAGCUUUCAUUGACUGGUGUUAAACACCUCAGUUGGGGAAGAGCAGCUUAAGAAGAACGGACGAUCAUUAGGCAAGGGGACCCGUGUUCUCUGUGUUGUAUGAAUGAGGAAACUGUUGUGUUCUCUGGAAGAAGGGCUCUCUCCCUUUGGGAGUUGUCGGUGUAUUAUGUCCGUAGGUGUUUCAAUAAAUGUCUGUCUGUUUGGGGCC
rnacentral:lncRNA from 1 species